rnacentral:lncRNA from 1 species
CUCAGACAGUGGGUUUCCCGUUCCCUGGGAAGGCCUUUGUGAGGUCAGAGGUUGGGAGUAGAAAUGGUGGCAGAAUAGUCUCACUAAUUAGUUUGGCCCUGAAUCCUAGAGGUGUGACGCUUGGAGAGGGGGAUUUGGGCACCUUCCCUCUACAGCGGGCAGAGAUAGUACCCAAUGGCACUGAGCAAGCUGUCUAGUGAUUGAGAAAUGGCUUGGGAUACUGAAGCCGGGGAGCUAUGCUGGGUUACGGGAGGAGCCAGGUCUGUGAAGGGCCAGGGUCAUUGCUGGAGCUUCCCAGGAACGGCUGGGAGUCCCACUUCCUAAGACUCCUGCCUAUGGUGAAGCUGAAGUUGGCCACAUCCUCCGUCAGCAUCUUGGUCCCAUCCAACAUGCAAUCUCAGCAGGAAACCCGACACUGCCCCUGUAAUUCAGUCCAUGUGGAAUUCAAUGUCUGUGCCAGCCAGACUCCCUCCUGGCCGCCCUCCCUGGAGUUUCAGUGAAUUGUCGGGAUGAUGCAGGUGGAUUGUGGAGGCUGACGUGCUUUCCAGUGCAGCAUCUUUCCCAAAGCCAUUCAUUAUUGGACGGAAUCAUCUCUUUAACAAGAUGUUCCCCAUGCUGAUUAAACCACGUACCUCCCAACUCUUGCUGCAAAUGCUUUUUCAUUCAUUCAUGAUUCAUUCAUUUAUUCAUUCCGGGUAGAAUGUAUGCUCCUUGAAGGCAGGACUUUUUAAGAAGAAUAAAAUUAAUUACUUUCCCUAACCUACUUCUAGAAGACAAAUGAAGAAAGAAAAGGGGGGUUGUUUAAUAUUUUCUAAUUUGUUCUCAUGGUUUCAUAGUCACGGUCUCAUGUGUUACCCCUAUUCUGGACUUUUGAGAAAUGUGAUCUGGGAGUUUGCUCCUUCAAAUCUAGUCAUGUCAUCUUGGCCCAUGUGCACCCUGCAGGACAGCUUAAUUCUUCAUUUUUGCACCUGCAUAUAAGGUUUUGUUGUCUUUUUUUCCUCUCAAUCGAAGUCAAUAAACAUCCAUUAAGCACCUACUAUGUGCUAAACACUUUACUAAAAACUGGAGAUAUAAAGAAAGUGAAAAAACCAAUCCUGGCUCUUUAGGAACUCACAAUCUGAUGAGUAGAUCCCCACGUAACCAAGAUGCACAAACAAGAUAGAUUUAGGAUAGAUUGGAGCUCAUUUCAGAGGGAAGGAGCUAAGAUUAAGGCAAAUAAGAGAUUCUUCUUAUAGAAAGUGAGAUUUUAAUUGAGACUAGAAGGAAGCCAAGAAAGUGAUAACUUAAGAAGGAGAUUCUAGGGGCAGCUGAGUGGAGCAGUGGAUAGAGGACCAGCCCCGAAGUCAGGAGGACCUAAGUUCAAAUCUGGCCUCAGACAACACUUCUUGGCUGUGUGACCCUGGGCAAGUCACUUAACCCCAAUUGCCUCAGGGAAAAAAAAAAGGAGAUUCUUGAAGAGGAAUGAGCCCUUCUUCCCAUCUCCUUUCCAAGAUGUCACUGUUUUGUUUUUGUCUUUUUAAAGCCCUCUGAAUCUCUCUCUUCUCAUCCCCUCCCCACAUAAUGCAUGUCAAGAAUCCACUCCUCUGCUCCAUCCUGGUGUCCAAGCAACCCUGCCUCAUCAUCAUUAUAGAAGCUGAUUUAAAGCUUUUGUGGGCCUAACCUUGUUUGUUCAAGAACCUAUCCAUCUCUUCCAUUUAUAACCCUGUUGCUAUGAAACCAACUGCCCCCAUGAUGCUGUCACCUAAAGCCAGUUUCAUGGACUCAGUUAACAGCGUGAGGUGGGGAUGUGCCUGCUCUCCAGAUGAUUCUGACCCAUGGGCCAGUUAGAGUUAUUGCUUUUUGCCAUCUGGACACCAUGCUAUCGAGGCAGCCGACGAUGCAGUAGCUUAAUUUAGCCAUCCCAUCACCCUCUUGGCUCGUAUUAAGGUUGUAGUUAAUGAAAACCUUCAGAUUUUUUUUCAUGAGAACCACUGCAAAGUCAGGUUUCUUUCUCCUGUCCUGGAUUUGCCUACAGCAGCACUUAAGAUCAAAUUCUUAAGUUUGUUCCUGUUCCAUCCUGUUGGUUUUGGCUCAGGGUUCCAAUUUGUCAAGACCACUUGGAAUUUUCAUCCUGUCAAUUCUAGCAUGAAUUAGCCCUGUGUCCUCUGAAAAUCUGAUGGCUAUCCCUCUCUACAGGGGCGCAGUAUAUAGGGUGUCAGGCCUAUAAUCAGGAAGACUCACUUCCCAGAAUCCAGCCUCAGCACUUAUUAGCUGUAUGGCCCUGAGCCAGUCACUUAAUCCUGUUUGCAUCAGUUUCCUUAUCUGUCAAGUUAUCUGGAGAAGAAAAGGGCAAAAUACCCCAUUUUAUUGCCAAGAAAACCCCAAAUGGACUGGGAAGAGUCAGACUCAACUGAAAUGACAGAAAAUACACACUACUGACAAUGUAAAAAGUGGGUUCGUUUGGAUUGAUUAAUCCAGGUGGUUUUUCUCUAGUUCAAAUAACCUAGAAACUUCAUAGAAAAAUACUAAAACUUUUCUGCCCUAUUCAUUUCUUGCUGAUAUUGCUGUUGUAUUAAAACAAGAGAUUUUUUUUUCAAGAGAUGCUAUUUUUUGCCCUUUCUCCUUCCCCUUUUCGAUCUUUUAAAGAGAUUUAAAAAUGGCGACUAUCAGCAUUCCCUUCACUGAUGGCAAAUCACAAUCCUGUCACACCUCAGGGAAUAGUUCAGUGUGUUUUGUGGCCAAAAUAUGUCUCUUUGCUUAGGCGAGUCUUUCUGAUUUUAGCUGGAUUGAGCUUUGAAGGUCUGCUCUAAAUCUGUAAUUCUCUUCUAAAUCUAAUCCCUCUGCCAGCCGUUAGAAUGAUCGAAGACAAUUAUUAUCACCCAGUGCUCCAAAUAUUCCCUUUUUGAGAUCAAACAUCCCUAACUCCUCAAUCAGUCCCUAUUCACCCGCCUCUUUAGAUGUUCUCCAGCUUCUCAAUGUCCUUCUGUCUUCAAGCCUUAACCCACUUUUCCAGAUGUGGACAGGCCAGGGCUGGGAGCCCACAUUCCCCUUCCCUGAGUCCCAAGGCAUCUGUGGUGAAACUGGUUUUUUUUGGGUUCUUUUGAUUUCUCCUCUUGGCCAGAGAAGUUGACAUCUGGAAUCUCUAGUAGCAAAAACAUCUGCUGGACCUCUCCUCGCCCUUCGUCAUCCUUUGUUAGAGGCAGUUUUCUGCCUCUCUGUUGGAAAGAUGGUAAUGGGUGACCCAGUAGGAUAGUGACAAUGAAGCUGUGGGAAGCUGACCCCAUACCAGUCUGCAGCAGGUGGAAAUAAAAGCGCUGAAGGUCACCCUAGGGAGAUGUAAGGAUUGACUCAGGGUCUAGAGCCUCUUCAGCUAAUUAUGGUAUUCUAAGUAAUGACACUCAAGGAUCUCAAGUCCUGCCUUCUUCCUUUACAGGAAGAUUUCAGGACUGGGAGAAUACGUUGAUGGCUCUGCGGUCCUAUUGAAGUGGGUGCUUCCUCCCUUGGUACAGAUUGCCAGCGGUGUUCUCCCUUACCCAGAAUGCCAGGAUCUCACAUUUAAAGGACCUAUCCUCCAUGCCCUUCCCCCUUCCUCUCCUUCCCCACUUUGGGUCACUAGACCCCCUUGUUUCUGCUUAAAACCCAAAGUGGUCACACAGCAGCCUGGUUUUAGAGCCAGAAGGGAUCACAGACAUCUGAGCUUUUCUUUUUUACAGUUAAGGAAACGGAGUCUUAGAGGAGUUAGGUGAUUUGCCUAAAAUCACAUGAUCUGAACUCAGAUCAUAGGAUCAUCAAUUUAGAUCCAAUGCGGAUCUCAAAGGUCCUUGAAUCUACUCCCUUCACUUUGAAGAUGAGGAGAUGUUCCUUUCUCUUGAGUGUCCCCCAAGUCCCACCUCUGCAAGAGUUCUUCCCCCCUAAUUACCUUCCAUUUACAUUACAUUCUCCCUGAUUGUGCUCCAUGUCUGGAAGGGUCUCCCUCCUCACAUCCAGGGAGGUCAGCAGCAGGUCUGGCUGCCUUUGAGUUCCAGCUAAAACCCCACCUUUUACAGGAAGUCCAAUGCCGCCAUUCUUUUGAUUAUUUCCUUUUUAUCCUGUAUAUAGCGUUCUUUAGUAUAUAUUUGUUUGCAUAUCUUCUCCCCUGUUAGAGUAUAAGGUUCUUGAGAACAGGGAACUGCCUUUUGUCUCUAUCUAUUUCCCUUAUCUCUUAGUACCUGGCACAUAAUAAGCAUUUAUUAAAUCUUUACUGGCUGAUUAUUAUUCUGCUCUUUUUUCGUGCAUUAGUUCCUGAGUGUUUAAUCAUAUUUCUCUGACUUCUUCAGUCAUCAUUUCUUUUCUUUUUCUGUCUUUCUUGCUUUCUUUUUUUUUUUUUUUUUGCUGAGGCAGUUGGGGUUAAGUGACUUGCCCAGGGUCAAACAGCUACAAAGUGUUAAGUGUCUGAGGUCAGAUUUGAACUCAGGUCCUCCUGACUUCAGGGCUAGUGCUCUAACCAUUCAGUCUUCAUUUCUUACUGAACAAUUAUAUUCUAUUACUUUCAUGUCCAGCUACUUCCCAAUUGAUGGGCCCACUUUGUUCUCAGUUCUUUGCCAUGAAAAAAGCUUUGGUGAAUCUUAUUUGGUAGAAAUAGCCAUAGCUAGCAGUUACAAUUUGCAAAGGGCUUUCCAUGUAUCAUCUAUACCUUGUCUUUGUCUCUCCAGCUCCUAGCAAGGGUGCCUGGCAUUUAGUGAGUGCUUAAUAAAUAUUGGUUGACCAUAAUAUUAUCAUUUGAUCACUUGGUGAAACAAAAGUAAUCCCCAUUUAAUAGAUGAGGAAGCUAAAAUUCUGAAAGUUAGUCACUUGCCUUAAGUCAUACAGCUAAUAAGCAUCAGAGGCAGGAUUUGAAUUCAGGUCUUUUUCAAGUCCACUGCUUUAUUUGCUAUGCCAUCUAGCUGUGGCUAUGCAUUAGAACCUUGUUUUUUUCCCCUUAAUUUUACAUAUUAAUUAAAUUAAAAAAUAUUUAGAGCUUGGUAUACAGUAAGCACUUAAGAAAUGUUGAUUGAUUGAUUGAUAACCUUUGCCUGUAUUAAACAGACACUUGUGCUAUUUCUCUCUGCAUCAGUUCCUGGGAAUUAAUGAAUUGAUGUUCUUAAUUUAAUUGUUACAUAUCAGGAACUUUCCAUUAUCUAUAUUCUAACACCAUUAUUGGUUGUUCAGUGAAUCAGUUUCAUCAUUAUCAUCAUCAUCACCACUAAUAUUUAUAUAGUUCUUUAACGUUUAUAAAGAGUUUUACAUGUGUUAACUCAAGGCAACUCUGGAAGGUAAGUCCUAUUACUAUCUCCAUGUUAUAGAUGUGGAAACUGAGGCACAGAAUGGUUAAAUUCAGGGUCAGGGUCACACAGCUAAGUGUCUGAGGCAAGAUUCAAAAUCAAACCUUCUGAUCGGAGCCCUGGGCUCUAGCCAUUGCCCUUCCGAGCUGCCUCUUUUGGUGAGCUUUUCAUUUCUGUUCUUGUAAAUAUCGUGGACAUGAUACGCUCAGUCCCUUAGCUCGGAAGCAUUGCUUUUGAGAAUGGACGAUGCUGGUGGACGGCUCGGUCCUUUCCCUCCUCAGACCUGAAGAUGAGGCAGCUGUCGGCAGGCCACAAAAGAGCUUUUUUCUCCCCAGUUUAGGACAAAAUGGCUUAGCUGAGGACCGCCACAAACUCCAAUGAGAGACAUCGUGGGGGUAGACGGAAUCGGGAAAGUGGUUUAUUUUUUAAGCCUGGCUUUUGAGAUAACUGUGAAUCUGAACCUAGAUGCAAACAGUGGCAGGCUCUAUAAACACCCACUGCAGCUGCCAAUUAAAAACAGCAGGCUUUGUGCAGGGCAAGCAAAGAAGGCCCGUGGCCCUCAGCCUCCACAAUCAUUACUUUGUGCAGAAACAGCCCAUAUUGUUAGCAUUUUCAACUCUGAGCACACACAGAAGGACCUAGAUCGACACCUACUCGUUUUAAAAAAAGGAAAAAAGUAAAUAUUGAUUAGCAAACUCAUGAAUUUUAAUUCUUUCGGCACUUCUAGAAGGUGUUGGUUUGGCUCAGUCCUGGAAAGUGUUGACUUAGCCUGGGGUUAUGUUGUAAAAAUCCCAACAUGCUUAGGAAUUUUAGCACAUUUCCAUUUUUCUGGGUUGACCUCAUAUCUUUCUUAGUUCCUCAUCCUUCCAAAGUGCAGACUUUUUACAAUAAAAACUAAAUUCUAAAAAAUGGAUUUUCUAAUCGUUCUCCCUUGCUAAUUGUUCUCUGGUGUGCUUUCUCCUCUCACCAGGAUCCAGACCCACCAAGAUACUUUCUGGCCAUCUCCCUGCCCUGAGUUGGAACCAUCCGACUUCUUCCUGCUCCCCCCAAUUCACUUUUUGCCAUUAGAAUGUAAUCUCUUAGAGGACAUGUUUUAAGAUUGUCCUGGAGCCAAUUCUGAUAGAUUGUUAAAUUUGGGGUGUUAACAUUUACACCCCCCAAAAAAACAAACAGUACAAAUCAGGGCUUGAUUUAUUCUUUUCUUGAUAGUCUAGCUUUAAUAAAGUGAUAAAGAUGUGAUUGUUGCAUAUUAAGCUUAAAAGCGUGUUGUCAUUCUGCAUUUACCAGCAUGCAUUUGCCAUCUUGGUUUCUUGUAUUUGUAUCUCUAGUAUGCAACAUAGUGCCUGGUAUAAAGUUAUAGCUCAAUAAAUGCUUCUUUGUUUAUUCAUUCAGUCUUCGUUCUUUCAUUCAUCAUUUAUUCAUGGUUUCACAUACCAGGGACUGAGACUUUCCUGAAAAAGUCUUGAGAUGAGGGUUCAAAUUCUGUUCUUUAUCAUGGAAAGGUUUGCGUUUGUUCUUUCCUUUCCUAACCAAGCAGAGGCUUAGAAAUUAGCUGUCUUUUUUAUGGAGGGAAUUGUUCUGGAAGAGGACCUUGAUCUCAGGGAGGUCAUGAGGUGCAAGUGAAUUGGAUUUAAGCAAGGUUACCUGCCUCACUUUCCCUUCCAGAGCCAUCUGGGUCCAGAGGCCAGAUAUAAAUCAGGAUGACUGGAAAUGGCUCUGGAUUCAAUGAGCCUUUUUAAGCUAAGGUCUUUAACAGGUUUCAGUUGUGUGGCUAUGGGCAAACCACUCAUCCUGUCUGAUCCUGGAUUUCUUUAUUGUACUAUGAUAAAAGUAAUUCUUUUAAUACUUCCUUCGGAAGGAUGUUGCACGGGUCUGGGGCAAGAGGCCGUUUGCAUGGCCCAUUCUAAGUUCUUUAAGAGAGGGCACUUUAGACAUUGAACAUAUUUCAAAUUUAUAAGCCCUAAACUAAUGGAACACACACCAUUAAAUACUGUGCAAAUAUGUGGGAAUUUUCAUUAAGUCUUAGGGAGGGGGUGGUGUCUCACUGAACCCCUUUGUGUGGAUGAAGAAUUGCUGCCAUGCUGGGAAGUCAUUGCCACUUUCUGAGUGGAGUGAAUGAGUCAUUUUGUCCAAAGCUAACACCUGGGGGCUAGUUGUCUAUUAACCAUAAAUGGCGUUCAGUCUUGGUUCCUGUGCCGAUGCCAUUCAUGACCAAGAAAGGAUAUGAAAUGUCCUAAUCUAAGAUAUUUUGUAACCAGAUAGAUUUGCAUUUACCUGUGAAACUUUACUUCUUUUCUCCCUUUUAAAAUGUAUUGAUUUCUUUUAUUUUUGUCUUAAAUUAUAUAUCCCCCCCCUCCAUUCCCACUGCAAAUUCUCCCUUUAAAUUUCCCAUUUACUUCUGAAACAGAGCAUCAGGGAGGGAAAAGAGACAUCAACUGAAUCUUAUCUCGAUAACUCAUUGAGCUUUAAAGCCUGCAAAGUGCUUAACAAAUAUUACUUCAUUUGAUCCUCACAACUUUGGAGGCAGGUGCUAUUAUUGUUCCCAUAUUAUAGAGGGGGAAACUGAAAUGGAAAGGUUAAUAUUGAUAAUAACUGUAAUGUUUAUAAAACACCUACUAUGUGCCAGACAUUGUGCUAAGCAUUUUAAAUUUAUUUUUUCAUUUGAUUCUCACAACAGCCCUGGGACAUUGGUGCUCUUAUACUCAUUUCAUAGAUGGAGAAGCUGAUGCUGAAAGGUUAACAAUAAUAAUAUGAUGAUGAUAAUGAAACAUUUAUAAAUGUGCAAGGCAGUGUGCUAAGUGCUUUAUACUUAUUAAUUAUCUUGCUUGAUUCUUACAAUAACCCUGGGAGACAGUUGCUAUUAUUUCCCCCAUUUUACAGAUGGGAAACUGAAGCUGAAAGGUUUAUAAUAAUAACAUUUAUAAAACACCUAUUAUGUGCCAGACAUUGUGCUAAGGAUCUUAAAAACAUUAUUUUAUUUGAUUCUUACAACAGAUGUGGGAUUAUUAUACUCAUUUUAUAGAUGAGGAAACUGAAGUAAACAGAAGUUAAAUGACCUGUCCAGGAUCACACAGCUAAUAAGUGUCUAAGGUUGGAUUUGAACCCAGACCUGAUUCCAGAUCAGUGUUCUAUCCAGUGAACUGGCAUUCCUCACUCAUAGUCAUUUCCCCAUCUCACCUAUCCCCACUUCCACCCCUGCAUAAAAAAAGGAGAAAGAGGCAUUUUUCUGGCACAUAAUAUGCAUACAUAUGUCUGGUACAUUAUAGGCACUUAAUAAUUGCUUUCUUUGGAGCCAAAUUUAGCAUGCCUUAUAAAGGUCCUUUUGGAUCAUAAAUUAGAAUUGGGAAGGCCCUGAGAGGCCAGAUAGCCCAAUCUCUUCAUUUUCCAGAAGGGGAAACCGAGGCCAGAGAAACGAAUUGCCAGGUCACAAAGGUAAUAAGGGAGAGAGGCCAAAUCUCCUGACUCCAAACUUACAGGUUUUUCUACACACAUACUUUUAGUCAUUCAGAUGUAUUUUGUUAAGUCAGCAUUACUUUUUUCUCCUUUUCAUACAAAUUUUCAAAUCAGCCCACUCAGUCUCCCAGAGUUAACAUGCACUUCCUUCCUGUUCUCAGGGAAGGGCAGAGUUAACUUUGCCUCUCACUGCCAAAAUCCAGACUAACUUUUCUAACUCCUACUUUUCCCUGGGGCCAUGACUUUUCCCCUGUAAUUACUUCCUUCUGUGUAAUUCCUUACACUGAUAGUUUGUGCUUCAGAACUGAAUUAAAGGGUCAUCUGAAAUUAUAGGCUUUCUAGUUCCUCUUAUCAGGGCUCAUGGGUGUUUACAGUUCUACACAUCAUGGAAAAAACUUAUAUUUCUAGUCUGAACAUUUCAGAUUUUCUCUUCCGUGAUCAUGCGGACGGUGAUCUAUCCAUAUUGGAUUUCCCAGUGGCUAUUUCGGUCCAUAAUCUUGGUAACACACACGAAAUGUGGUGUUGGUGAGAUAAAGAUGGGAUUUAUUUCCUACAAGGCUUCUGCAGAUUUAAUUAGAAUCCUGUGAAUUUCAAACCCUCCACUCUCAUUUUUUCUCUCCUCUGAGUAUGGCCUUUGUCACUGCGCAGUGGGAGAUGUGCCCAUGAACCUAACUUUGGAAACGACGAUCCUUCAUGUGUCUCUGGGACUCUUCCUCUGACAGUCUUUCCUAAAAUUAGUUAGACAUCUGAAUUUGAAAACUCAUGCAAAAUCACUUUCAUCUUGGGCUCAGCAUUAGUUAUUUAUAGCAAUGAUAAAUUUGUUUCCAAGUAUAAAACAGAACAUUUUAGCCACUCCCCCCCCUUUCUUCUUUGGCUAAGAGUUAGGAAAUUUUGUUUGGUUGAGAGGUGGCUGGUUUCCCACUGAGCAAUGUAUGAACUUAGCAGCAAUGUCAAAAAUUCAAGCCCCAGAAACAAAACCUUCCUUUCAACCUGCUUACAGUGGCUUAAGUCACACAGACACAGGACACAGAAUCACAGAGCUUGAAGGAGGCCCCCAGGAUGGGUCUUGUUGGCAAAAUAAAGAUGGGAUUCAUAUAAUAGUCCUGCACACUUAGUUAGAAUCCUGUGAAUUUCAACUCUUUCCCUCCCAUUUUUCCCCCUGUAACUAUAGCCUUUGGCAGCAUUACCCUGCUCUAGGUCCAAAGAUGCAUCCUUCAUCCUCUGUUGUAGAUAAAUGGCCCUCUGUCCUAUUUUUUAAAUUCUCCCAGGAUUUAACUUCCACAGUCUUCACCUGGUCUGCCUUUUCUCGGCUUCUAUUAUUCUUGUGAUCGUAGAGCUCCUUAAACUUUUUCCACUCACGAUCCCAUUUUGUCUGAGAAAUUUUCAUGUGACUGGGUAUAUAGGUAUAUAAAAUAGGCAUUCAAAUCAAACAACAACUGAGAAUAAAUCAUAAUUUUGUGAUCCUCACAUUCAGUUUCCCAACCCUGUAUGGGGUCACAGCUCAUAGUUUAAGAAUCUUUGAUCUAGAAAGUUUCUAGUCUAAUUCAAGCUGUGUUGGGGCUAGAAUGCCAAAGACAGCCCUGCCCUCAAGGAGUUUCUGUUCUUCUAGAAGGAGGGAUACCACAGAUCUAAUUGAGUUUUCUUCUUGUAAUUUCUUCUAGCUCAGUCAUCUCCCAGUGUAGUCUAGUAUCCUGUCUGUGCCACUGAAUAGCCACCAUCCUAGUUGCUGAUGUUUAAUAAUGACCAGGAGAUUGAUUUGAAACAGGCCAGUUUCUGGCAGUGAGUUACCUGUAAUUUGGUGAUUACAAAGCCUGUUUGUUGUUCAAUCAGAGGGAAGAUUUGGCCAGUAAUGGCUCUCCCAAAUACCUGCAUGAUUUCAUUGUCUGUGUAUGUGUCACCCAGAAUAACAUGGGUAGUCCUUAGUGGAUGAGAAGAUGCAUUAGAAAAUCAAUCACUGGGAUUGUGCAAAGUAAAGCAGUGUGAUUAUAGAUCUUGUCCAAGUUGAAAAACCCUUCAGAUUAACUUUUUAGAUAAAAUUAUCUAGUAAUCUUAAAAAAAUGGACUUUCUGUGUAACUAAGAUGGGACAAUUAAAGCUUUGUCCCACAGUGCUCAGUUUGUAAGGUGCUGAAUUGUAGUCACUUAACAAAGUGGAAACCAUAGAACUUAGUCUUUAAUUAAUAAGGAUGACUAGUUAAAAUAAGCAGCUACCCAAUGGAAGGAUGAAGGCCAUGAUCUUAUUCCACCUUGCUCUUGUUCUUAUAGUUAGCAUGGUUUACCCAGGUCUCUGUCUUCUUUCCUUCAACCCUCAAUGAAAGGCCUAAUUUGGGGAGAGAGACAGAGACACAGAGAGAGAGAGAGACAGAGAUGUUAAUUGUGCUUUUUUUGUGUGACAGAAUUUUGUAUUUGUACCUUUAGCACUUAAAAUGAUUGACUUUCAUUCAUUUCAGUAAUCUACAUUCUAGAAUCAGAAGUGAGGGAGGCAGUUUGGGUGGGAGACCUCAAAGGCCAUCUACAUCAUUAUUUUUGAGGAAAUGUUUAUUUCCUCUCUACUGAUAACCAUGCUAACCAUAAGAACAAGGGCCCACUUAACAAUCCUAGUGCUAUAGGGCUCUCUAAAGGCACAUUCUUGAUUUCCAGUUGAAAAUGCCAUUUGAGAGACUGUUGUGGAAGUAUUUUGAACUUCACUGAAACUGGAGAUAUCCCAGCUAGAAACGACUGUCCUUAGAAUCAAAUUAGCAAACAUUUAUUAGUCACUUGUUAUAUACAAAGUCUCAAGAAUACCAAAAAAUACCCCAUUAAAAAGCUCCUUCCCUCAAGAACCUUACCUAGGGAAUGUUACAGGGAAGGGAAGUGACAACAUAUCAAUAAGGUUUGAACUUUGGAAGUUGAUGACAUAUCAUCAGGAAGAGUCUCCACCCUAAUAGACACCACAUGCAGGGGGAUUACAAGGUGGACCAUGGGAAAGGGAUUCUCUUUUACACGGAUCCAUUUGUUCAGAUACCAAAGAGUCCAAAGAUCUCAGGACAAGUAAAUGGGAGAUUUAAAGGGAGAAUUCACCUGUUUGCAAGUCUCCUCCUGCAGUAACGUCUUCUCCCCCCAAGGAAGAUGAAAACAGAGGGCAUAAUUAAGAAAUGUGCAUCUGUGUUAACUCUGUAAACAAUGAAUUCCAAGUUAAUGAAGAGAUCUGGCAAUGGGGAAACUUUGGACACAGAGCCAAACUAAAUGUUCAUUAUUGGCUUUAAAGGAAAAUGUUUUCUCACUGAUUUUUAAUUGACAAACAGAACUGGGAAUGGGGAGACCAGCCUGGCUACAGAUGAGCUCUGUGACGGUGGCUAAGCUGCCUCUUCAUUCUGAGCCUGAGUUUCCCUAUCUGUAAAAUAUAAAUGAUCCUACUUGUAAUCAGCUACCUAACAGUGCCUGUGCAGGGGGGCAAGAUAAGGUAUUUAAAACUCUGCAAAACAAAGUGACAUAAAAAUGUCAGCUCUUAUUACUCAGAGCAUUUUUUCUCUGCUUUUUUUUUAUUUUCUUUUGUUUUUUUUAUUUAAUAGCCUUUUAUUUACAGGUUCUAUGUAUGGGUAACUUUAUAGCAUUAACAAUUGCCAAACCUCUUGUUCCAAUUUUUCACGUCUUACUCCCCACCCCCUCCCCCAGAUGGCAGGAUGACCAGUAGAUGUUAAAUAUAUUAAAAUAUAAGUUAGAUACACAAUAAGUAUACAUGACCAAACCGUUAUUUUGCUGUACAAAAAGAAUCAGACUCUGAAAUAUUGUACAAUUAGCUUGUGAAGGAAAUCAAAAAUGCAGGUGGGCAUAAAUAUAGGGAUUGGGAAUUCAAUGUAAUGGUUUUUAGUCAUCACCCAGAGUUCUUUCUCUGGGCGUAGCUGUUUCAGUUCAUUACUGCUGCAUUGGAAAUGAUUUGGUUGAUCUCACUGCUGAGGAUGGCCAGGUCCAUCAGAACUGUUCUCUGCUUUUUUCAGUAAAUUCAGGUAUAAAUGGCCUCUGGGGCAUGUUGCCCUUCUGCUAUUAUUCUUGUAUACUUAAUGUUCUAUAGACCAUGGUGCAGAUGCACCGCUGACUGCUGUUUGUGAUUGGAUUUAAGUGUUGGGGUGUGGACUCCCUCAUCAAAGCAUGGUCCUAACAAUUCCAGUGACAGAUGCCGCUACGUUAGGGACAAGAAGUGCUUUGUCCUGUUCCCACGUGGUUUCUACUUCUUCUAGGGAGCGCUUCUGCUGUUUGGAAUACAUGUUUAAGCUUUUUAAAUACAUUUAUUUUAUUUUUUCUUAUGUUAUUUAUUUUUAUUUUUUUAUUAUAGCUUUUUAUUUACAAGACAUAUGCAUGGGUAAUUUUUCAGCAUUGACAAUUGCCAAACCUUUUGUUCCAACUUUCCCCUCCUUCCCCCCACCCCCUCUCCCAUGGCAGGUUGACCAAUACAUGUUAUAUAUGUUAAAUUAUAUGUUAAAUCCAAUAUAUGUAUACAUGUCCAAACAGUUAUUUUGCUGUACAAAAAGAAUCAGUCUUUGAAAUAGUGUACAGUUACCCUGUGAAGGAAAUAAAAAAUGCAGGCGGAUGAAAAUAGAGGGAUUGGGAAUUCUAUGUAGUGGUUCAUAGUCAUCUCCCAUUAAAUACAUUUUUAACUGCCUACAUUUCCAAGCACAACCUGUACCUCCUUGACUUUGGCCCUGCCACUGGAUUUAGAUGACUGGAAGAAAGACUGAGGCUGAUGAUGUUGUACAUUGUCAUCUCACUUAAAUACAAUUAAUGAGAAAGUCAAGACAUUCCCAUGAUGUCAUUGGUCCUCCUUGAAAAGGAAGGACAAACAAAUGCAUUUAUCUAUCUUCUAUUAAUCUGUCAAUUAAUCUCUCUAUAUCUACUUGUCUCUUCCCCUCUCUAAUCUCUUUCUUUCUUUCCUUCUUUCUUUUUCUUUCUUUCUUUCUCUUUCCUUCCUUAUUUUCUUCUUUCUUCCUUCCUUCCUUCCUUCUUUCCUUCCUUCCUUCCUUCCUUCUUUCCUUCCUUCCUUCCUUCUUUCCUUCCUUCCUUUCUUCUUUCUUUCUUUCUUUCUUUCUUUUUUUCUUUCUUUCUUUCUUUCUCUUUCUUUCUUUCUUUCUUUCCUUCUUUCCUUCCUUCCUUCCUUCCUUCCUUUCUUUCUUCCUUCCUUCCUUCCUUCCUUCCUUCCUUCCUUGCCUCCUUUCUUUCUUCCCACCUAUCUAUCUAUUUACCUACUUCCUACCUACCUACCUAUCUAUCUGUCUUUCAUCUAUCUAUGUAAAAUCAGUCAACAUCUGCAUCCAUUAUCAUCUGUCUGUCACUUUAUCUACCUUUCCCAAACAUGAUCACUCUAAUUUUGUAGCAUUCUGUUUGGUUUGCUUUGUCAUUAUGUUUGCCAUUUACCUUGACCUGGUCAUUGUAAGUAAUGUUUACCUGCUUUUGCUGAUCACAGGACUGCAUCAAUCGUUUCCAUGUUUUAAGAUUAGAUUUUCUGACUCUUCUGCUUCAUUCUCUCCACAUUUAAGUAACUCUUGGAUUCUUGCUCUUAUUCCAUCUCUUCUGGACUGGGAAGGGGGAAUUAUUUCUUGUGCUUGCCCUGCAUGGUCCCAUAAUAUGGGGUUGUAUGACUUGGUGCUGAAAAGACUGCUGACAAAAGACAGAUGAAGCCCUUGCACUUCACUGGCAAGAUGUGUUUGCAGUGUGGGGAUGAAGUCAUAUUGGCCCAUAAGAAAGUGUCCAUUAUCUUGUGUCCAUGUCACGUGCACUUGUGGCUCGCCUGCUUCAGUGGCUGCUGAGAUCUGCCCCAAGGCAUUUUCCUGGGAUGUUGAUAUACAUGGCUUGUUCCAACAUUUCUCAUGAUCCAGACCAUGGCCGAAUUCUACUUGCUUUUGCAUCCUGAUUAUCACAGCGAGUCCCAGUGGGGCCAGCCCACAACUCCACACUGCCCUAUCUGUUUCUUAAUUCACAGGAGCAGUUAUGUCCCGUUAGAAGAGUUGUUUGGUCAGCCAGUGACAUUGCUAGAGCUCCCUAGAUCAGCUUCUCAGACUUUCAGAUGUAUUGGGCUUGAUGUCAGGGCACAUAGAGCUCUUGUCCUACAUUUCUCUGGCUGGCACUCUUGUACUUUGCCAUUACAUCCUUCCCUAUGACAUGCUUUGCAUGCUUAUUAUUAUUGUUAUUAUUGAUAGUAUUGAUAUUAGUAGUAUCAAUUCUUGAAUAAAACAAUUCCACCUUCUACAAGAGAUGGGAAAUUGAUGUUGAUAGGGGACGAUAUCUUGUCACAGGAAUUUCUCCCGUCCUCUGGGAAAGUCAAAAUCAAUUGGUGGCCUUUAAUAUUACCAUGCUUAAUAAGACUUUUCUAUUUUUUUUUAAACUUUACACAAUGGCUGGAUAAGUUAGAAAUUCUUUUGGCCUAUGGUUUAAUUUUUUUUCUGAGAAUAAAUAUACUCUUAGACUUCCUUGCUUGGAAUUAUGCUUUGGAGCCCUUAAAAAUUUUCAUUAUCUUCUGUGCUUCUUAAUUAGCUCUUUUAUGACUCCGGUGUGUACAUGUAUUGGUUCAAAUGUUUGUGGAAUGCCUACUAAGUAUAAGAUACCAUCAGUUCUUGUUUUAAAAACACAAAUUUGUUCCAACGUGGUUGAUAUAAUAGGGAAGAUUUUGAAUAUAACACACAUUUCAGGUUUGCCAAUAUGCUAUUUCUUUCUCAAGAAUACAGAAAACUGUACAAUAUCUCACAUGCUUCAGUGAUUCCACAAGCAAACUUCAGAUGUCUGUGAAUACCUAAAGUCUUACAAAGAUAAAGUGUCAUAUGUUUUAUGUAUCUUAUCACACAUAUAUUAAAUAUUAUAUACAUAAAGUGUCAUAAACUAUACAUCUUAUCACAUACAUAUUGUGUAUCUUGUCAUAUAUAUAUAUAUAUAUAUAUAUAUAUAUAUAUAUAUAUAUUUAUAUAGUACAUGGACCUUUU